AGUCGAGCGAUGAAACUACUUCGGUAGUGAAUUAGCGGCGAACGGGUGAGGAACACGUGAGGAAUCUGCCUUCUACACUGGGAUAACUCCGGGAAACCGGGGCUAAUACCGGAUAUGAAACUUGGUGGCAUCACCGAGUUUGGAAAGUUUUUCGGUAGAAGAUGACCUCGCGGCCUAUCAGCUUGUUGGUGAGGUAAAGGCUCACCAAGGCGACGACGGGUAGCCGGCCUGAGAGGGCGACCGGCCACACUGGGACUGAGACACGGCCCAGACUCCUACGGGAGGCAGCAGUGGGGAAUAUUGGGCAAUGGAGGAAACUCUGACCCAGCGACGCCGCGUGCGGGAUGAAGGCCUUCGGGUUGUAAACCGCUUUCAGUAGGGAAGAAGCGAAAGUGACGGUACCUACAGAAGAAGCACCGGCUAACUAUGUGCCAGCAGCCGCGGUAAUACAUAGGGUGCAAGCGUUGUCCGGAAUUAUUGGGCGUAAAGAGCUCGUAGGUGGUUCGUUACGUCGGAUGUGAAAAUCUGGGGCUCAACCCCAGACCUGCAUCCGAUACGGUCGAGCUAGAGUUUGGUAGGGGAGACUGGAAUUCCUGGUGUAGCGGUGGAAUGCGCAGAUAUCAGGAGGAACACCAAUGGCGAAGGCAGGUCUCUGGGCCAAUACUGACACUGAGGAGCGAAAGCGUGGGGAGCGAACAGGAUUAGAUACCCUGGUAGUCCACGCCGUAAACGGUGGGCGCUAGUUGUGGGAACCUUCCACGGUUUCUGCGACGCAGCUAACGCAUUAAGCGCCCCGCCUGGGGAGUACGAUCGCAAGAUUAAAACUCAAAGGAAUUGACGGGGCCCCGCACAAGCAGCGGAGCAUGCGGCUUAAUUCGACGCAACGCGAAGAACCUUACCAAGGCUUGACAUAUACAGGAAUAUGGCAGAGAUGUCAUAGCGGUUAAACGUCUGUAUACAGGUGGUGCAUGGUUGUCGUCA
rnacentral:rRNA from 1 species